UUCUUCCAAUUCGGGAUCUGCCAUGUUAAGUGAGGGAUUUCAGUCUUAAUAACAAAUAUUCAGAAAGUAGGGAAGCUUUACAAAUAAAUCAAACCUAUACAGAAUCAAAUUUGACUGCAGGUGAUAACAGCACGUUGAAUUCACUCACUGAAUUCACAACAACUACAAGCAAAAACACGGAAAAUUUUUGAGGUUAGCCCACCGAAAGUUCGAAAGUUCGGUUUGUUUUGUUUUGUCCGUUGCUUGAAAGCUUUUCAAAGCGUAAGCUUUUAUUUGGUCCAUGGCCCUAAUUUUGUUGGCAGACUUUACGGUCGACCGCAAGUUGAGCUUCAGACGUAAAUAAGCUUUUCACCAGUAACCACAGGCCCGUCAUCGGACGGUCCUAUCUUGGUGGAUGUUGCAAGAGCUCUGAUGUGAGAAAACGCGCGAAAGUUGGUGAUAAUUCAAAAGGUUUAGAGGUUAUAUUGAGAUAAGAGAUAAGCAAGCGUUUUACGAGGGAUUUUAUGUACCUACUUUUGCACGUUGUUGGCCCGUGAUAAUUCGUAAAUCUUUUCGUGAUAAUUAACCUGUGAUAUUAGUUUUUAGAUUUUUUCAAAAACCUGUUUUUUCUUUGUAAAAUUGUUGUUUGUUACCUUUUUUCUUUUAAUUUCUAUCAUGUCUAACCAAAGUGUGCGCUCUGUGAAUUUUACGGGGGCGGAAAAAGAGAAGAUAGUCGAAAUCGGUAUGGAAUACUAUGAUCUUCUCCAUUCCCCCCUGAACAAUAGUGUUACAAUGGCAGAAAAAAACCGUGUCUACCAGCUGAUGGCAGAGGAGGUCAACAAGGUCGGCCUCAACUCCAGAACAGUGCGACAGAUUAAAAAGAAGUAUCAAGAAUUGAUACAAAACGCCACACGGAAGCAAAGGAUUAUAACAACAGAACGGAAAAGAACAGGGAACAAAAGAAUGCGAGUUAGCUUGGACCACUUGGAUGAGGAAAUAAUUAGAAAAGUUCCUCCAAUGAAAUACAUCGGCAUCUCAGGAGGUGUAGAUUCAUCAGCAGAGGGAACGCACUACUGCGACGUGUGGGAUGAAGUGCAACAAGGAGAUUCACCAGAUGAGGAGGUUCAACCUACGGACACACCUGAUGAGGAAGAGGCAUCUGGCGGAGACGGAAAUGAAUCGAGUGGCUCGGAAGUUUCCUUCCAUUCUGAGUCAACAAUGACGGCCCCAUUUCUUGCCUCACCUACUCCAGCUACCGGCCCAUCUGGGGAUUCCUUCCCCACAAGGAUUGUCAAUCUGUCGAUCCCUGGAAGGGCGAAUUCCCGGAUGUGGCCAACGGAGGUUGCCUCAGGGUCUGUGAGGCCAAGGAUGAAUUUAGGUACUAACCUGCAAGGACCUCGACCUCCAAGACCGAGGCUCAUUGUACAACAGACGCGUCCUGGCACUCAUCAAGCGACUGCAGCCUCAGUGGGUGUGGGGCCAAGGAUGGUUAUACGCAUGGCGUCUAGGCAAGGAACCAGCCUGGAAGGUCCUCGACCUGCACGACCAACAGCUGCAGGACCAACAGCUGCAGGACCAACAGCUGCAGGACCAACAGCUGCAGGACCAACAUCUGCAGGACCAAUAGCUGCCACCGCAAGCACAUCGAGCGGAAGAGUGUCAGGACGAAAUGUUGCUGGCACAAGGCCCCUGUCGAACAUUCCACGGAAUAUGAGAAGAGGGAAAGAACAGCACGCCGAAAGGAAGAAUGGGUGACUGCUAAACUGAUUGCUGAGCAGCAGGAGGAGUUGAACAGGCUGACUGGCCUUAUUUUAGAGGAUCAAAAGGCAUUUCAUAGUAAGAAGUUAGAGAACGAGGAGCGAAAGCUAAAAUUGCGAGAGAAAGAGGUUGAGAUAGCAGAGAGGAGAUUACUACUGGAGGAGGCACGAGAGAGAAGGGCGACAGCAAACCAAUUGCUCCGCCAACAACAACUGGCAGAGUUGAGACGCCUGAAUGAGACAGUCGAUCUGACCAUUCAGACUUUCUUCGGAUCUUCACUUUAAGUUUUCUUCUAAGUUCUGUGUAGUACAUAGGGUGUUUAAAAAGUUUUGCACAUUUUCGAGUUUUGAGCAAACGAAAACCAGCUACCAAUUUACGGUUUAAGUGUGCUUAAAGUAGACACGAUUACCAAUGACUCAAGACCAAGAAGAAGAGAGUUGUUCUUGGUUUUGUUUUUUUGGUAAUUGUGUCUACUUUAAGCACACUUAAACCACAAAUGGAUGGCUGCUUCCGUUUGCUUAUUACUUGGAAAUGUGCAAAACUUUUUGAACACCCUAGGUAUAACUUAUCCUGCAGACCUUGCCAUUUUCUUUGAUUCGAAACUGUUCUCAUCAAAUUUUCUUUUUCUCUCUCUACAAUCUCAUCUGAAAUCUUCUCUUUUGCUUUUUUCUUUUUUUACACCUAUUUUCCAUCUCUUCGUAAUGGACCACUAGACAAGGUACGAAUUUAAGUAAUCUGAUACAAGUUUCUUAACCAGAAUUUCACAUAGAAAACGAUUCACACAACGAAAAUUACUGAAACAAACUCCUAACGAAGAUAUUAACGUUUUUAUUUCACAUUGGUUAUGAGGAAUUUGAACUGCCCGCUCACAAGAAACUCAAAGCUCUACAUGAGUCAAAUUGCUACAACGGUUUCAGCAAGCUUCUCAACCGAGCAAUGUUCAUUUCCCGCCAUGUAUUUUUCAAACUAUAAGCAAUUUGCUACAGCUGAGCCAAAGUGUCAAGAUUGAGGUUGCCACAUUUUUAUAUUGCAGAGACUGUCAUGAUAACGUUUAGCGCACAAUGUGAAUCACAUAGAGCAUUGAGUUUUCAUGAGACGGUGGUUUGAAUUCAUGCAUCAAGAAUCAUUAAAUAUCUUCGUAAGGAGUUGAUUUUGGUAAUUUUUGUUGUGCGCAUCGUGUUCUACGUGAAAUUUUCGUUACGUAACAAGUAUCAGAAUGCUGAAAUUUGUUCCUUGCCUAAUGGUCCAUUUAAGCCAUUUGUCUCCCUAAUGUAUGCUCUGUUUUGUCUCGUGGUUUUCUAAAAUAAGUGCUCCAGUUCCACUUCAGCCCUCCUGCAGUCUCUCAUGGCUUUUGUCCCUUCUCAUGUUUGACAGCCGUUCAUUAGAGCUGCAG
rnacentral:lncRNA from 1 species